CCCUGCCUGAGGUCCCACCCCUGUCUGAAAAGUGCAGCUUUCCUGAGAGGGUGGGUGCUCAGCUCGCUGUGACUUGGACCCACACUGCACUCUCCUAACUACCAAGAUGAGCACAUUUUUACUUCUUCCUCUGGAAGCUUAUUUCCUUGAAGUGACUACUUCAGGAAGUGAUGAGUCCUAACUCUUAGGAACUGAGAACAGGAAUUAGGAAAUUCACAUUUCUGUGAAUACCGGUGAUCAACCCUCAGUGCCAUCCUGGAGGGUCUCUCUACUAGGAGGGACUUAGCAAUGUGAUAUUUCAGCCUAAGAGCUCAGAAUUGCUCCACAAAAUCAAGUUCAAGGGAUACAACCUGACAGCAGCAGCCUGAACUCAGCUAUAAAAAUGGUGUACCAACUUUCUUCCUUGGAAUAUUCAGAUGCUUCUAGAAAACAACAUUUUUCUCAUCCAGAAUCCUGUUUCACCAAACCAUUUUAUAGCCAACAAGAAGAGCUGCAACAAUUUUAUUGAAAAUUUAAAAUUGGAGUGAAUUCUAGUCCUCCUUUUACCAAC